CAGCGACGGCUGAGUAAUGCACAGGAACGUACCCGAAAGUGGGGGAUAGCCCUUCGAAAGAAGGGGUAAUACCGCAUGUGCUCGCAAGAGUAAAGCCGCAAGGCGCCUUCGGAACGGCCUGUGUCCUAUCAGAUUGUUGGUGGGGUAAUGGCCUACCAAGUCUAUGACGGGUAGCUGGUCUGAGAGGAUGACCAGCCAGAUCGGGACUGAGACACGGCCCGA
rnacentral:rRNA from 1 species